UACGGAGGAUCCGAGCGUUAUCCGGAUUUAUUGGGUUUAAAGGGUGCGUAGGCGGCUUUUUAAGUCAGCGGUGAAAUUUUGCAGCUUAACUGUAACAGUGCCGUUGAUACUGGGGAGCUAGGAUUUGGUUGCUGUGGGUGGAAUGUGUGGUGUAGCGGUGAAAUGCUUAGAGAUCACACAGAAUAUCGAUUGCGAAGGCAGCUCACAAAGCCAAGAUUGACACUGAGGCGCGAAAGCGUGGGGAGCAAACAGGAUUAGA
rnacentral:rRNA from 1 species